AUUGAACGCUGGCGGCAGGCCUAACACAUGCAAGUCGGGCGGAGCGGCGGACGGGUGAGUAAUGCCUAGGAAUCUGCCUGGUAGAGGGGGAUAACUACCGGAAACGGGCGCUAAUACCGCAUACUAUCAGAUGAGCCCAGGUAGGAUUAGCUAGUUGGUGGGGUAAAGGCGUACCAAGGCGACGAUCCGUAACUGGUCUAGGAGGAUGACCAGUCACACUGGAACUGAGACACGGUCCAGACGCCUACGGGAGGCAGCAGUGGGGAAUAUUGGACAAUGGGCGAAAGCCUGAUCCAGCCAGGCCGCGUGUAUGAAGAAGGUCUUCGGAUUGUAAAGCACUUGAAGUUGGGAGGCGUUACCAACAGAAUAAGCACCGGCUAACGUCGUGCCAGCAGCCGCGGUAAUAC
rnacentral:rRNA from 1 species